rnacentral:rRNA from 1 species
AUUGAACGCUGGCGGCAUGCUUUACACAUGCAAGUCGAACGGCAGCGCGGGCUUCGGCCUGGCGGCGAGUGGCGAACGGGUGAGUAAUACAUCGGAACGUGCCCAGUAGUGGGGGAUAGCUCGGCGAAAGCCGGAUUAAUAUCGCAUACGACCUGAGGGUGAAAGCGGGGGAUCUUCGGACCUCGCGCUAUUGGAGCGGCCGAUGGUAGAUUAGCUAGUUGGUGGGGUAAAGGCCUACCAAGGCGACGAUCUGUAGCUGGUCUGAGAGGACGACCAGCCACACUGGGACUGAGACACGGCCCAGACUCCUACGGGAGGCAGCAGUGGGGAAUUUUGGACAAUGGGCGAAAGCCUGAUCCAGCAAUGCCGCGUGUGUGAUGAAGGCCUUCGGGUUGUAAAGCACUUUUGGCGGGAACGAAAAGGACUGUGCCAAUACCACGGUUCGAUGACGGUACCCGCAGAAUAAGCACCGGCUAACUACGUG